rnacentral:rRNA from 1 species
CACGUAGGGCGCAAGCGUUGUCCGGAAUUAUUGGGCGUAAAGAGCUCGUAGGCGGUCUGUUGCGUCCGCUGUGAAAACUCGGGGCUUAACCCCGAGCCUGCAGUGGAUACGGGCAGACUAGAGGUAGGUAGGGGAGAAUGGAAUUCCUGGUGUAGCGGUGAAAUGCGCAGAGAUCAUGAGGAAGACCAGUGGCGAAGGCGGGUCUCUGGACAGUUCCUGACACUGAGGCACGAAGGCCAGGGGAGCAAACGGG